GACGAACGCUGGCGGCGUGCUUAACACAUGCAAGUCGAACGAAGAGCGAUGGAAGCUUGCUUCUAUCAAUCUUAGUGGCGAACGGGUGAGUAACGCGUAAUCAACCUGCCCUUCAGAGGGGGACAACAGUUGGAAACGACUGCUAAUACCGCAUACGAUCUAAUCUCGGCAUCGAGGAUAGAUGAAAGGUGGCCUCUACAUGUAAGCUAUCACUGAAGGAGGGGAUUGCGUCUGAUUAGCUAGUUGGAGGGGUAACGGCCCACCAAGGCGAUGAUCAGUAGCCGGUCUGAGAGGAUGAACGGCCACAUUGGGACUGAGACACGGCCCAGACUCCUACGGGAGGCAGCAGUGGGGAAUCUACCGCAAUGGACGAAAGUCUGACGGAGCAACGCCGCGUGAGUGAUGACGGCCUUCGGGUUGUAAAGCUCUGUUAAUCGGGACGAAAGGCCUUCUUGCGAAUAGUGAGAAGGAUUGACGGUACCGGAAGAGAAAGCCACGGCUAACUACGUG
rnacentral:rRNA from 1 species